UGGCGGACGGGUGAGUAAUGUCUGGGAAACUGCCCGAUGGAGGGGGAUAACUACUGGAAACGGUAGCUAAUACCGCAUAACGUCGCAAGGCCAAAGAGGGGGACCUUCGGGCCUCUUGCCAUCGGAUGUGCCCAGAUGGGAUUAGCUAGUAGGUGGGGUAACGGCUCACCUAGGCGACGAUCCCUAGCUGGUCUGAGAGGAUGACCAGCCACACUGGAACUGAGACACGGUCCAG
rnacentral:rRNA from 1 species